UGAUAGGGCCGGAUAUACGUUGUCCGUGUCUUCCCUCUGUCUGUACUGCAAUCUUCAGAUGACCCUGAGCAAGCCAUUGCAUUUCACGGCUGGAGAGAUCAGAUUCAGAAAGUGUUGUAACCAAGGAAACAAGAAUGUGCCCCAAACGCAGAAGAUGUAAUGAUGAGCGAGGGACAGACCUCCAUAUACCACAGAUCUGGUUAAAACAAUAUGUAGUUAAUGAGAAUGAAGCAAGAUUUUCCAUUUUGCAAGACAAAGAGCAUUUAAAAAGAAAAAGAACUCUACUGAUCUCUGCUGGCGUUCCCAUCGCAUCACUUUCCUGGAUCCUGGGUGGUCUCUGUAUAGUCAAUCUUCAGCAAUGAUGCAUCAUCACAUACAACCACUGUGAUUGGCUGUGGCAGUAAUAUGUUGAUAAGUCAUCACUGUAGUGUACAGAGGCCAGCAGGGGCCAAAGAAGCAUUGCCAUGAAAGCACAGGGGGAAAGAAGGAGGGGGAGGAAGAGCUGAAUAAAAAACAGGAAAAUAAAGUUAACACUGAAAAAAAAGGGUUACACAAGUUGGCAAGAAAAAGACAGUACAUAGUUCAAGAGAGAGGCAUAGAGCAAAAUGGAAUGUAGGAAAUUAUAACAGAAUGAUGGAGCUAAAAGUACAGAGCA